rnacentral:misc_RNA from 1 species
CCAUUUCUUAAUUGGAUGAUGACUAACGAAUUUUAAGUUUGUUUAUUGCUGCAGUUACGUGGUUGAUGCAGCUGAUCCUGAUAAUCUGAGCAUCUCAAGAAGUGAACUUCAUGAUUUGUUGAGCAAACCAUCAUUGAAUGGUAUCCCUUUGUUAGUGCUGGGGAACAAGAUUGACAAGCCAGGAGCUCUGUCAAAGCAGGCUUUGAC